AACGAACGCUGGCGGCAGGCUUAACACAUGCAAGUCGAACGCCCCGCAAGGGGAGUGGCAGACGGGUGAGUAACGCGUGGGAAUCUACCCAGUUCUACGGAAUAACCCAGGGAAACUUGGACUAAUACCGUAUACGCCCUACGGGGGAAAGAUUUAUCGGAAUUGGAUGAGCCCGCGUUGGAUUAGCUAGUUGGUGGGGUAAUGGCCUACCGAGGCGACGAUCCAUAGCUGGUCUGAGAGGAUGAUCAGCCACACUGGGACUGAGACACGGCCCAGACUCCUACGGGAGGCAGCAGUGGGGAAUAUUGGACAAUGGGCGCAAGCCUGAUCCAGCCAUGCCGCGUGAGUGAUGAAGGCCUUAGGGUUGUAAAGCUCUUUCAGUGGGGACGAUAAUGACGGUACCCACAGAAGAAGCCCCGGCUAACUUCGUGCCAGCAGCCGCGGUAACAC
rnacentral:rRNA from 1 species